rnacentral:rRNA from 1 species
AUUGAACGCUGGCGGCAUGCCUUACACAUGCAAGUCGAACGGUAACAGGUCUUCGGAUGCUGACGAGUGGCGAACGGGUGAGUAAUACAUCGGAACGUGCCUAGUAGUGGGGGAUAACUACUCGAAAGAGUGGCUAAUACCGCAUGAGAUCUACGGAUGAAAGCAGGGGAUCGCAAGACCUUGUGCUACUAGAGCGGCCGAUGGCAGAUUAGGUAGUUGGUGGGAUAAAAGCUUACCAAGCCGACGAUCUGUAGCUGGUCUGAGAGGACGAUCAGCCACAGUGGGACUGAGACACGGCCCAGACUCCUACGGGAGGCAGCAGUGGGAGAUUUUGGACAAUGGGCGCAAGCCUGAUCCAGCAAUGCCGCGUGCAGGAUGAAGGCCUUGGGGUUGUAAACUGCUUUUGUACGGAACGAAAAGCCCUGGGUUAAUACCCUGGGGUCAUGACGGUACCGUAAGAAUAAGCACCGGCUAACUACGUGCCAGCCGCCGCCGUAACAC